rnacentral:rRNA from 1 species
GGGGCAAAACCCACCACCCCCCGUACCCACUACCAUUUCCCGUCCCUUCUCCCGCCCUUCAACUCACAUUGCACUUCAGGUAUUCCGGGAGGCAUGCCAGUUCGAGCGUCAUUAACACCCCUCAAGCUUAGGUUUACCCAUUGCUUGGUCUUGGGGAUGGAAGCCAAUUCGUUGGAGUCCUCUUCGAAAUCCAAUGGGGAAGACCCUUGCUCUCCCAAGUGUAAUAAUAACUUAUGUCACUGAAGGAAGCGAGAAAUCCUCCGCCGAAACCCCAAAUUUUUAAGAUUGACCUCGGAUCAGGUAGGGAUACCCGCUGAACUUAAGCAUAUCAAAAGCGAGAAGGACACU